GUGGGGAAUCUUGCACAAUGGGCGAAAGCCUGAUGCAGCGACGCCGCGUGAGCGAUGAAGCCCUUCGGGGUGUAAAGCUCUUUCGACGGGAACGAUAAUGACGGUACCCGGAGAAGAAGCUGCGGCUAACUACGUGCCAGCAGCCGCGGUAAUACGUAGGCAGCGAGCGUUGUUCGGAAUUACUGGGCGUAAAGAGUGUGUAGGCGGUGCUCCCAGUCUGUUGUGAAAUCUCCCGGCUUAACUGGGAGGGUGCAGCGGAAACUAGAGUGCUAGAGGGUGGGAGAGGUAAGCGGAAUUCCUGGUGUAGCGGUGAAAUGCGUAGAUAUCAGGAGGAACACCUGUGGUGUAGACAGCUUACUGGACCACUUCUGACGCUGAGACACGAAAGCGUGGGUAGCAAACAGGAUUAGAAACCCUUGUAGUCC
rnacentral:rRNA from 1 species